rnacentral:rRNA from 1 species
GACGUAGGGCGCGAGCGUUGUCCGGAUUUAUUGGGCGUAAAGAGCUCGUAGGCGGCUUGUCGCGUCGUCCGUGAAAACUUGGGGCUCAACCCCAAGCUUGCGGUCGAUACGGGCAGGCUCGAGUUCGGUAGGGGAGACUGGAAUUCCUGGUGUAGCGGUGAAAUGCGCAGAUAUCAGGAGGAACACCGGUGGCGAAGGCGGGUCUCUGGGCCGAAACUGACGCUGAGGAGCGAAAGCGUGGGGAGCGAACAGG